rnacentral:lncRNA from 1 species
UCGAACUACAGGAGCUUGAUCCCUGGAUUGGGUAUGUAGGCAACCAUGGAAAAGUGGUGCAGCUUGUACGGGUGUCCAUGUUCGUGGGCGGUGCUCGUAUUCGUCCUACAUUUGAGGUUUAUCAAAUGAAGUACGAGGUGGAGAAUUGUUGGUGGCAGACAAGGGGACAACCCUUUUCUCUUUUGCUUUUACUUUUUGCUUUUUCCUUUUGCUUUUUGUAGUGAAAGUCGUAAGGGGAGAGAGGGAGCGUAAGUGAAUACUCACUUCUUGCUUCAGACAUCAAGGUGAGAGCAGAGAGAGCUGUGAGAGAAAAACAGAGAGAAUUGGGGUGUGAUAUACACGAGAGAUUGUGAGGUAUUUGAAGAGGGUUUUUCCAGCGUGGGUUUGAGAGUGUACGAGAGUGAGAGGUUGAUCUCAUCUUGGGUGUAAUUCUCGAUUCAUUGUGUGACGAGUUCGCGGGUUGUGCGAAUCGUCGGAGUUCUUCAAUAUUACGAUUGGUGUUGCUCCCGUGG